ensembl:lncRNA LOC102554140 uncharacterized LOC102554140
GGGGCGGGGCCUCAGUGAGCUCGUCUCCCGGCUCCUGGCUCCCGGGAAGGGUCACAGCCUGCGCUUUCAGACACUGGAUGAGGGCACCGCUGGCUCUGCUGCUGUGACUUUUCUACUGGGGAUCGAGGGUUCGCCCUCCUCUCUAACCUUUGCUCAGGUUUCCGUGACGACGUCUGGCUAGCCUGGAUCCUGCUUGAGCUUGGUUUUCUACUGAGUGAACCCUAUCAUGUGAUCGUGUCACCUAACUGCAAGGAGAGCUAAAUGAAGUCGUUAGCUGGCCAACGAUUUGUCAUCUAAUCCUCACUCCUAUUGAAGAGCGAGGGAGUGGAUGUUAGCCAGCCAUCUGCCCACUUCAACCAUCCUUGUGUUCUGAUUUUUUUAAUCUGAUUUUUAAU